UACGUAGGGUGCAAGCGUUGUCCGGAAUUAUUGGGCGUAAAGGGCUCGUAGGCGGUUUGUCGCGUCGGGAGUGAAAUCCACUGGCUUAACUGGUGGCUUGCUUUCGAUACGGGCAGACUGGAGGUAUGCAGGGGAGAACGGAAUUCCUGGUGUAGCGGUGAAAUGCGCAGAUAUCAGGAGGAACACCGGUGGCGAAGGCGGUUCUCUGGGCAUUACCUGACGUGAGGAGCGAAAGUGUGGGGGAGCGAACAGG
rnacentral:rRNA from 1 species